AGGGACAGGCAGAGACAGAUAGGGACAGAUAGGGUCCUAUAGGGACUUGAACGAGGAAGAUCUGCUGGAAAAGAAAAGAACUACAACCAACCAGACGAACAAGAAACACUGUUACAAGUCAGCUGGCAGCAACAUAAGGAAAUGAACAAACAGUGUGGGUGCCUUCAAGGUGUGUACUACCAUGGAAUGGGAGAUCGGAGGGACACAUGGAUCCCAACCGUGGGCCUGGAUCCCCCAGUAUGAGCUGAAUACGAAGACAGAACAAACCACCAACCGGCAAUUGAAGUGACACAAAGUGAACCGGGUUCUAUAAAUUACCAUGGAAAGUGGUGAGCCAACGAUUUGGCAGAACAAAACCCUGAGGAUAUGCAAACAAAAGGGACUAUGGAAUUUGCAAUUGCAGAUUAAAAUUGAAGAAGAAAACAUUUGAGUUGCAAAUACUGUAUUAAAAGUGGACACUGCUUAUGACUGCUGUAUGCAACAGUUUUUCAGGCCCGAGGUGAUAAAUAAAAAAUUGUUUGCUCUAUUUAA
rnacentral:lncRNA from 1 species